rnacentral:rRNA from 1 species
UACGUAGGGUCCGAGCGUUGUCCGGAAUUAUUGGGCGUAAAGGGCUCGUAGGCGGUUUGUCGCGUCGGGAGUGAAAACUCAGGGCUUAACCCUGAGCGUGCUUCCGAUACGGGCAGACUAGAGGUAUGCAGGGGAGAACGGAAUUCCUGGUGUAGCGGUGGAAUGCGCAGAUAUCAGGAGGAACACCGGUGGCGAAGGCGGUUCUCUGGGCAUUACCUGACGCUGAGGCGCGAAAGCGUGGGGAGCAAACGGG